rnacentral:lncRNA from 1 species
CACCGUAUAGGAGCUCCUCAAAGAAACACCAAUCUUGUGCACUCAAACUGAACAUGCGAUAGGAUUGAGUGGCCGAGCCAUCAUGUUAAAAUUGGGUUUCACAAAGAGGUGGGUUAAGAUUGUUAUGAGCCUUGUUUCCUAGUUACGUUUUCAGUAAUGUUUAAUGGAAAGAAAUUGGAAGAAUUUCAACCAACUCAUGGAAUCAAACAAGGGACCCAUAUCUCCAUACUUGUUUUUGCUAGCACUAGAUGGCGUGUCGUAUCUCCAUACUUGUUUUUGCUAGCACUAGAGGACCCAUAUUCAAAAGGAGAGUCAUCAAACUUACAUGGUCUGCAAAUGGCACCCUCGGUGCCACCUGUAAACCAUCUUUUAUUCGCUGAUGAUAAC